UGCUAGCCGCCGCGGUAAUACGUAGGGGGCAAGCGUUGUCCGGAUUUACUGGGCGUAAAGCGCGCGUAGGCGGAUUGUUAAGUCUCAUGUGAAAGCCCUGGGCUCAACCUGGGAACUGCAUGGGAUACUGGCAAUCUAGAAUACAGUAGAGGGUAGUGGAAUUUCAGGUGUAGCGGUGAAAUGCGUAGAGAUCUGAAGGAACAUCAGUGGCGAAGGCGACUACCUGGACUGAUAUUAACGCUGAGGUGCGAAAGCGUGGGGAGCAAACGGGAUUAGAUA
rnacentral:rRNA from 1 species